AGUGAACGCUGGCGGUAGGCCUAACACAUGCAAGUCGAACGGCAGCACAGUAAGAGCUUGCUCUUACGGGUGGCGAGUGGCGGACGGGUGAGGAAUACAUCGGAAUCUACUUUUUCGUGGGGGAUAACGUAGGGAAACUUACGCUAAUACCGCAUACGACCUACGGGUGAAAGCAGGGGAUCUUCGGACCUUGCGCGAUUGAAUGAGCCGAUGUCGGAUUAGUUAGUUGGCGGGGUAAAGGCCCACCAAGGCGACGAUCCGUAGCUGGUCUGAGAGGAUGAUCAGCCACACUGGAACUGAGACACGGUCCAGACUCCUACGGUAGGCAGCAGUGGGGAAUAUUAGACAAAGGGCGCAAGCCUGAUCCAGCCAUACCGCGUGGGUGAAGAAGGCCUUCGGGUUGUAAAGCCCUUUUGUUGGGAAAGAAAAGCAGCAGGUUAAUACCCCGCUGUUCUGACGGUACCCAAAGAAUAAGCACCGGCUAACUUCGUG
rnacentral:rRNA from 1 species